rnacentral:ribozyme from 1 species
ACUUCUUGCGCCCAGCCUUGUCCCUGCAAUUCGGCAGCAGCAGCAGCAGCAGCAGCAGCAGCAGCAGCAGCAGCAGCAGUAGUUCUUCUGCUCCUGCAUCGUCUUCACACAAAAUGACCAUGGCGCCCUCAGAAGAAAAGCCGGC